AUGUCUGCAGUCUGUGUACUGAGGACCUGGAGCAGGAAUGCUGGGCAGCUGAUUUGUUUCACUGUUUUCCAACAUGUAGUAAUGUUCAUGUUUUGAAGCCAAAUUAUGUGUGUUUCUUUGAUUAUCCUUCAUUCAAGUAUAGUCAUCCACAUAACUUUCUGAAAACAAUUAAUGCUGUAUGUGGACAGCUUGUUCAGUUCAGAUUCUCAGACACUGAAGAAGGGAUUAGAAAAGUAACUGUUAAUGUUAUGUAAAAGAAGGAGAUACAGUGUCUCAGUUUGAUAACAUCGGUAAAGUUCAAAGUGAUAAAGCUUCUGUUACCAUCGCUAGUCCUUAUGAUGGAGUCAUUGAAAACUCUAGCAUAGUCUAGAUGAUAUUGCCUAUGUGGGGAAGCCAUUAGUAAACAUAGAAACAGAAGCUUUAAAGGGUACU
rnacentral:lncRNA from 1 species